rnacentral:rRNA from 1 species
CCUGGAGAGCUUGUUUUNCCCNGUGGACCAAAACCCCAACCAAUUUUUUGUAUUUUGAAAAACCUUUUAUNACUNUAAAAAUUUAAUAUUCCAAAACUUUCCAANCAACNGAUCUCUUGGUUCUCGCAUCGAUGAAGAACGCAGCGAAUUUGCGAUAUGUAUUGUGAAUUGCAGANUUUUCGUGAAUCAUCAAAUUCUUUGAACGCACAUUGCGCCCUCUGGUAUUNCCAGGGGGCAUGCCUGUUUGAGCGUCAUUUCUCUCUCAAACCUUUGGGUUUGGUAGUGAGUGAUACUCGUCUCGGGUUAACUUGAAAGUGGCUAGCCGUUGCCAUCUGCGUGAGCAGGGCUGCGUGUCAAGUCUAUGGACUCGACUCUUGCACAUCUACGUCUUAGGUUUGCGCCAAUUCGUGGUAAGCUUGGGUCAUAGAGACUCAUAGGUGUUAUAAAGACUCGCUGGUGUUUGUCUCCUUGAGGCAUACGGCUUUAACCAAAACUCUCAAAGUUUGACCUCAAAUCAGGUAGGAGUACCCGCUGAACUUAAGCAUAUCAAUAAGCGGAGGAAAAGAAACCAACCGGGAUUGCCUUAGUAACGGCGAGUGAAGCGGCAAAAGCUCAAAUUUGAAAUCUGGCGUCUUCGACGUCCGAGUUGUAAUUUGAAGAAGGCGACUUUGUAGCUGGUCCUUGUCUAUGUUCCUUGGAACAGGACGUCAUAGAGGGUGAGAAUCCCGUGUGGCGAGGAUCCCAGUUAUUUGUAAAGUGCUUUCGACGAGUCGAGUUGUUUGGGAAUGCAGCUCUAAGUGGGUGGUAAAUUCCAUCUAAAGCUAAAUAUUGGCGAGAGACCGAUAGCGAACAAGUACAGUGAUGGAAAGAUGAAAAGAACUUUGAAAAGAGAGUGAAAAAGUACGUGAAAUUGUUGAAAGGGAAGGGCAUUUGAUCAGACAUGGCGUUUGCUUCGGCUUUCGCUGGGCCAGCAUCAGUUUUAGCGGUUGGAUAAAUCCUCGGGAAUGUGGCUCUGCUUCGGUAGAGUGUUAUAGCCCGUGGGAAUACAGCCAGCUGGGACUGAGGAUUGCGACUUUUCAGAUGCGC